ensembl:misc_RNA Metazoa_SRP Metazoan signal recognition particle RNA
GCCAGGUGUGGUGGCAUGCGCCUGUAAUCCCAGCUACUUGGGAGGCUGAGGCAGGAGAAUCGCUUGAACCCGGGAGGCAGAGGGUGCAGUGAACCAAGAUCGCACCACUGCACUCCCGCCUGGGUGACAGAGCGAGACUCUGUCUCAA